AGUGGUUGCCACAUCUGGAGUUUUAUUUACAAUUAUUCGUCGGCUCUAGAUAAUAAAAUUUCUUAGUAUUCAUUUUUAAAAAUCAAUUUAUCUUGGGUUUUUUUUAUUACGAAUUGAUGAGUAAUUAUGGUGAUUAAAAGCGCGAUGUAUUCAAUUAAAAUCCAUUCAAGUUUAAUGUUAAUAAAUUUUUAUUUCAAAAUUAUUAAAUACUAGAUAACAAGUUUGUUAAUAAAUUAAUUUAUUAAAUAGUUUUAAAGUGACGUUUAAACAAAUCAACGAAAACGUCAUUUGCUUAAAUACCUUGGGUGUGAAAAAUAAUUAAUUAAUUAAAUUAUUAAAUAGAAAUUUCCAACAAUAUAUUUCACAAUAUAUAUACAAAUUACCUUCCGGUAUAUUAUUAUCAUAAAUGAUAAUUAAUAGUAAACUAUGAUAGAUGAUAUUAUGAUAUUUAUAAAUUAAUAUGACG